GGAGUUGCCCUUCAAGUACCCUCUCCUGUGUAAAGUGAUGCUACAGUCCAUCCUCUACCAUGAUGGCCUACUUGUGAUGUGGACCUUCCCACCACCGCCUUGUUACCAAAGAUACCAUCCAGGUUUCAUGGAGUAGCCCAUCCAAGUACCCUCUCUGGUGUAAAGUGAUGCUAAAGUACCCUUUCUACCAUGAUGACAUACUUGUGAUGUGGACCUUCCCACCACUGUGUUGUUACCAAAGAUACCAUCCAGGACAGUGGAGCCAAGACCCUCACUCCCGCUACCAUGCCGGCCCACCACAAGACCUUCAAUACCCAGACAUCCCUUAAAUGCCCACUUGUAAAUUACAUUUGCUAUAUUUUAAAG